rnacentral:rRNA from 1 species
CUUGCUUCUCUUGAGAGCGGCGGACGGGUGAGUAAUGCCUAGGAAUCUGCCUGGUAGUGGGGGAUAACGUCCGGAAACGGACGCUAAUACCGCAUACGUCCUACGGGAGAAAGCAGGGGACCUUCGGGCCUUGCGCUAUCAGAUGAGCCUAGGUCGGAUUAGCUAGUUGGUGGGGUAAUGGCUCACCAAGGCGACGAUCCGUAACUGGUCUGAGAGGAUGAUCAGUCACACUGGAACUGAGACACGUUCCAGACUCCUACGGGAGGCAGCAGUGGGGAAUAUUGGACAAUGGGCGAAAGCCUGAUCCAGCCAUGCCGCGUGUGUGAAGAAGGUCUUCGGAUUGUAAAGCACUUUAAGUUGGGAGGAAGGGCAGUAAAUUAAUACUUUGCUGUUUUGACGUUACCGACAGAAUAAGCACCGGCUAACUCUGUGCCAGCAGCCGCGGUAAUACAGAGGGUGCAAGCGUUAAUCGGAAUUACUGGGCGUAAAGCGCGCGUAGGUGGUUCGUUAAGUUGGAUGUGAAAUCCCCGGGCUCAACCUGGGAACUGCAUUCAAAACUGACGAGCUAGAGUAUGGUAGAGGGUGGUGGAAUUUCCUGUGUAGCGGUGAAAUGCGUAGAUAUAGGAAGGAACACCAGUGGCGAA